GUUAGCGUUUUGGCUGUUGAAAUCGUCGUCAUUCCGAAAUCAACAACGGCACGGUAUACUUCUUCGUCCGGGCACUACCAAAAGAGGCGCCAAAAUUUUACGUUUCAAUGCAGACGACACACAUCACACUCUCACACGGAAAAUUGGCAACACGCGAAAAGUGCACAGAACGCGAAGGUGCGAUAACAAAAUUGAGCAUUAGCAUCAAAGGUAUAUUAGAAAUCGAAAGCAAACGAAGGCGGAAGCAACACGAAGAGAAGAACAUAAAUUGAUCGUGACAAGAGCGAGAGAGAGAGAAGUGCAAGAACAGCUGGUCUGCACGCUUCGGGGUUGUGUUUUUUGUCGCGUGUGCCGUCGCCGGGAGAACCACACUACAAAUACAACUGAAACUACAGCUACAAGGCGAACCAGGUGUGCGGGUCUGGGUGAGCGCCUGAUUCUUUUCACGUUUUUGCAUGCUCUGGCGGCACUCUGCCAGAUGCAAUCCCCUUCGCCGUCGACCCCCGUUUCGGUUUUUGUUUUGCUACAUUCGUUCACACAGGAAUACACACACAUAUCGCGAUAUAUAUCUCGUCGCUAAGUGAUAACCAACACAAAAGUGGAGAAAGGAAGGAAGAGUGUUACUGUAGAUCCAGAAAAAGAAAAGCUGCAAGAUGUCCGCAAUUAGCAGUCGCAAUCAGAAAAUGGAACAACAGCGCCAGCUGAUGGAGGCCUACAUCCGACAGAAGAGGGCGUCGCCGGGCAUGGUCCAGGCCAGUGAUCUGCAGAUCAGUCGACCCAUGUCCGGGAUGCGCAGCAACAGCCGCGAGCUGCAUGCCUACGACGGACCGAUGCAGUUCAUCAGCUCGCCACUCAAUCCCGACCAGAUACUCACCAACGGCAGCCCCGUCGGUGGAACAGUUGCCAUGAACUCCACUCGAAAUCACUCGAACAACAUGCGAACCCUGAGUACCAUCAGCCAGGAGGCGGAUCUAAUCGAGGAGAUCUCAUCGCAUGAGCUGGAGGACGAGGAGAGCAGUCCCGUGACGGUGAUCGAGCAGCAACAGACCGCCCCGCACAGCGCCAACUCCACGCAUUCGCAGCGGCCAAGCACCACCCGCCAGCCGUCCUUCAACGACACCCUGGACGAGGAUGACUACACCAACCGCAACAUAGCCGGUGCGGCACCUGUCCGUCCCGUUGGACUGGCCUCCUCGCCCUAUAAGGAGGCGGGUCUGGACGGCAGCAGCAUGGAAACAUCGAACGGAGCCGGUGGGGAGUCCGAGGGCGAUGUGAUCGGUAACAUCGAUCAGUUCGUGAUGCAGCCAGCGCCCCAGGGAGUCCUGUACAAAUGUCGCAUCACACGGGAUCGCAAGGGAAUGGAUCGCGGCCUGUUCCCCAUAUACUAUUUGCACCUGGAGCGGGACUACGGCAAGAAGAUCUUUCUGCUGGGAGGUCGCAAGCGUAAGAAGAGCAAGACAUCGAACUACAUUGUCAGCUGCGACCCCACGGACCUGUCCCGCAGCGCUGAUGGCUUCUGCGGCAAACUGCGAUCCAAUGUCUUUGGCACAUCCUUCACGGUCUUUGACAGUGGCAACAAGGACAGCACGGACAGUCCGCGUCUCGACCUGGCCGUCAUCAUCUACGACACCAACAUCCUGGGAUUCAAGGGACCCCGCAACAUGACUGUGAUACUGCCGGGCAUGACUGAGGACGAUCAGCGUGUCAAGAUCAGUUCAGCGGAUCCCAAGCAGACGGGCAUUCUUGACUUGUAUAAGAUGAAGAAUAUGGACAACAUUGUGGAGCUGCACAACAAGACGCCCGUGUGGAACGACGAGACGCAGUCGUAUGUGCUCAACUUCCAUGGACGCGUCACCCAGGCGUCGGUGAAGAACUUUCAGCUGGUGCACGACUCCGAUCCCGAGUACAUUGUGAUGCAGUUCGGCCGCACCUCGGAGGAUGUCUUCACCAUGGACUAUCGCUAUCCCCUGUGCGCCAUGCAAGCCUUUGCCAUAGCCCUCAGCAGUUUUGAUGGCAAAAUAGCCUGCGAGUGAGCCAACCCAGCCCCAGGACCUGUCCCGCUGCCUUAUGUAUAGAUGUAUAAUGGAUCGUGGAUCGUGGAUCAUGCCGUCGUGGAAGACAAAGACGCAUUAUUGAUGAUAGCCUCAGAAAUCUAGUCACUCGAAGUAGGACAACGUUGAUAUAUAAUUUGCUCACCGAUUUUGUAAAGAAUUAUACCGAAGAAUUAUAGUACGUAGUUGAGUUCGUGUAACUUUGUACUUCUAAAUGUGUGCCCUGUAAACGCCCUGUAAGUUCUAUUGUAAGCAAUAUCGAGACAUGUAUGUAGAUGUCAUCAAAGUUAAAUAUCAUUGAUCAAUUCGAUAGUCCGCAUAUAGGAGCAGACUAUAUUCAAUGCGAUUACUAUUAGCCGGUAAGAGAGCAUACUAACUUUUGCUGAGCUCGAAAUAUGAUUAAGGCCCCAAGAAGUAUCGAUUCUGCGAGUAUUUAUGUAUUGUAUUUACUUUACGACUCUAUAUCACACCAAAUACAUAAUAAAAAACAAUGCAAUACAUAUUUAACAUAUUAUUUUAUUCAGAGAAACCCGUGGAAGUUCUGGUGUAGCUUAGGUAAUGAUUUAUUUAUUACUCGUACAUAUAUUAAUAUCGUUAAGUACAUUUACUUUAUCUGUUGCAUGUCAAAUGCAAAUUUCCAGCUGUCAAGGCCAUUCACAUAAUCGUAGAAAUCAUAGAUUCGUAUUUACAAAAGAAUUAAACCAUUUUCACUCAUUUGACGGCUCCAUCACAUUGGAAGUGUACAAAGAAUA
rnacentral:misc_RNA from 1 species